GGUAUUUCCUGAAUAGACUUUGCCAUCCAACAUUUUGCGAUUUGGAGUGUGUUCAGGAACUCGCCAACAGGACGUGUUUCCGGCGAGUGAUUGACAUCUGUGCCACUCGCCACCCAGCCGGCGCGCCGCGGGACCCCAGCCUCCCACGAGGCGAAGCAACUGCCGAAUCAUUCUCAACCCCCAAGUGAGGCGCUGUAGUCCAGUGAUUGGCCCCGAAGCCAAGCUGCCGUCCGGGCAGCGGCGCAGCACCGCGGCAAAGGCAGCCCCAAAGCCGUCGACUCCUCGACGGGCAGUCGCAGAGCCGCGCGUCACACUCAGAAAGGUGUUUCAGACGCACGCAAAAAAUACAAAUCAGCUAGAUUCUUUGCAUCGUAAUUUAUCGCCACCAGGGCAUCCAGCGCGUCCGCUUGUUUAUCUGGGUCUCUCGUCUCGGGUGCCGGGUUCCGGAUACCCGGUCCGCGGCCGGGUCACCGUGUUCUGUCC